AUUGAACGCUGGCGGCAGGCCUAACACAUGCAAGUCGAACGAGUGGCGGACGGGUGAGUAAUGUCUGGGAAACUGCCCGAUGGAGGGGGAUAACUACUGGAAACGGUAGCUAAUACCGCAUACCAUCGGAUGUGCCCAGAUGGGAUUAGCUAGUAGGUGGGGUAAUGGCUCACCUAGGCGACGAUCCCUAGCUGGGCUGAGAGGAUGACCAGCCACACGGGAACUGAGACACGGUCCAGACUCCUACGGGAGUCGGCAGGGGGGAAUAUUGCACAAUGGGCGCAAGCCCGAUACCGCCAUGCCACGUGUAUGAAGAAGGCCUUCGGGUUGUAAAGUACUUUCAGCGAGGAGGCGUUACUCGCAGAAGAAGCACCGGCUAACUACGUGCCAGCCGCCGCGGUAAUUC
rnacentral:rRNA from 1 species